AGAGAGAAUCAGAAACUUUGAUUGCACAGCCCUGAUCAGGGGUCCUAUAAAGGCAGCCAAGUAGCCAGUCAGCAGCACAAGAGCCAGCAAACAGAGCUGGAAACAGAUGUAAUCCCUUAAUAGGUCCCCGAGAGGGAAGGUGAAG